rnacentral:rRNA from 1 species
GACGAACGCUGGCGGCGUGCUUAACACAUGCAAGUCGAACGGUGAAGCGCCUUCCUUUUUGGUGGGUGUGGAUGAGUGGCGAACGGGUGAGUAACACGUGAGUAACCUGCCCCCUUCUUCUGGAUAACCGCAUGAAAGUGUGGCUAAUACAGGAUAUUCUGGGUCUGUCGCAUGAUGGGUCUGGGAAAGAUAUUGUUUCGGUGGGGGAUGGGCUCGCGGCCUAUCAGCUUGUUGGUGGGGUGAUGGACUACCAAGGCGGUGACGGGUAGCCGGCCUGAGAGGGUGGACGGUCACACUGGGACUGAGACACGGCCCAGACUCCUACGGGAGGCAGCAGGGGGGAAUAUUGCACAAUGGGCGCAAGCCUGAUGCAGCGACGCCGCGUGAGGGAUGGAGGCCUUCGGGUUGUGAACCUCUUUCGCCAGUGAAGCAGGCCUGCCUCGUUUGUGGGUGGGUUGACGGUAGCUGGAUAAGAAGCGCCGGCUAACUACGUG